CCAGGCGAGCUGGCCAGCCAGGAGCCUGGCUUCUUGAGGGAGGAGGCUGCCACCCAGAGCAGGGGGCCUGGAGCCUCUCAAGGAGAGGGGAGGAGACUGCCAAGCAGGAUUAGCAGGAUGGUGCCCCGAGGCGGCCGUCCCUUGCUCAGCUGAUUAUCACAUUGUUUCAGAGGUAAUUUGGUCGGCUUCAGGCGCAGAGCCCUGCAUGUUCUAGAAGCCCCUCCAGCCCUACUGUUUGAAGCUUGGUCUGGGCAGCAGAAGGAGGAGUUUUGGGGGAAGAAAGAGAUGUCAAAUCUUGGCCAUCCAAAGACUCCAGAACAUGCUCCCCACUCCUGCUCUCUGUAUUGAUCCCCACCCCUUGCUUUGUGUCAAUUGAUCAAUGCCUCUGCCGAAGAGAGAAAUUGCCCUUUAAAAUGGUUAAGAAAGAGGUUCAGACGGAGCAUUAAUAUUCAUCAAAAUGGACCCCUCUCAAAAUGAGAAGCAGAAACAAAAGGAGAUUUGCUGAACAGUCUAUUACGACGACAGGGAGAAGCAAUCAGUUAAUGGGACUGGAUGCCAGUGAGAUGGUGUUUAUUUAAAAAAAAAGAACACAACCUCGGAGGUGACGGCAGGCUCAAAAGGAGGAGGAGCCACGAUUGGGUCUGUUUAUCCAGAGCAGCAGCAGCCCCAUUGCAGGGCUUCCAGCACCAUCUCUCCACCUGUGUUUUCUGGGUGGAGAUCCUGCCCCUUUCUCCCAUCUCGGGGGCCUCACCAAGGACUCCCAUGGUGGGGCAUGUCAUCUAUUCAGUCUGCAGCUGAGUGGGGAACAUGACCUGGUGGCCCGAGCUUCUGGAGGUGACUGUCCUGGCCUCGCGGGCCAUGACUGUCUCGGAGAAAGCUGCCCUGCUGGUGGUGGCAUAAAUCACCACUCCACGGGCCUCCCUCAUAGACCAUAUGGACCUUCCUGUCAGGCCGGGACGGACUUAAAUGAUGACAUUUUUCAUCUUGAUUGACAAUUACCUUCCCCUGGAAGUUGGGGAAC